UCUUACAGAUGAGCAAAGGCAGUGGUUUCUUGAAAUGGAAUCUACUCCUGGUGAAGAUACUGUGAA
rnacentral:pre_miRNA from 1 species